UGGAAGUUGCUAGUUGCCUGCCUGCUGUUUGUGGUCCUUAUUGGCUGAUAAAAGAAAGGAACCAUACAGACUUUUGACUGGCACUGAGUACAUCGUUGGAAGGAAAAACUGUGCUAUUCUAAUUGAAGAUGAUCAGUCAAUCAGUCGAAAUCAUGCAGUGUUAACUGCUAAUUUUGCUGUGACCAACUUGAGUCAAACUGAUGAAAUCCCUGUAUUGACAAUCAAAGAUAAUUCUAAAUAUGGUACCUUUGUUAAUGAGGCAAAAAUGCAAAAUCACCUUCCCCAAACUUUGAAGACAGGGGAUAGAGUCACCUUUGGAGUGUUUGAAAGUAAAUUCAGGGUAGAGUAUGAACCUUUGGUUGCCUGUUCUUCUUGCUUAGAUGUGUCUGGGAAAACUGCUCUAAAUCAAGCUGUAUUGCAACUUGGAGGACUCACUGUGAACAGCUGGACAAAAGAAUGUACUCACCUUGUCAUGAUGUCAGUGAAAGUCACCAUGGAAACGAUUUGUGCACUCAUUUGUGGAUGCCCCAUUGUAAAGCCAGAGUAUUUUACUGAAUUCCUCCAAGCAGUUCAGUCCAAGAAACAGCCUCCACAAAUAGAAAGGUAUAUUAUGUGUUUCUAAUUAACAACAUAUGACAGAAAAGAUGAGCGCAUUGACUUUCGGUU